CCUACGGGAGGCAGCAGUAGGGAAUAUUGCACAAUGGGGGAAACCCUGAAGCAGCAACGCCGCGUGGAGGAUGAAGGUUUUCGGAUUGUAAACUCCUUUUGUUAGAGAAGAUAAUGACGGUAUCUAAAGAAUAAGCACCGGCUAACUACGUGCCAGCAGCCGCGGUAAUACGGAGGGUGCAAGCGUUAUUCGGAUUCACUGGGCGUAAAGAGCGCGUAGGCGGGAUAGCAAGUCAGAGGUGAAAGCCUAGGGCUGAACCAUAGAACUGCAUUUGAAACUGUUUUUCUAGAGUGUGGGAGAGGUAGGCGGAAUUCGUGGUGUAGGGGUAAAAUGCGUAGAGAUCAGGAGGAAUACUCAUUGCGAAGGCGACCUGCUGGAAUAUAACUGACGCUGAUGCGCGAAAGCGUGGGGAGCAAACAGGAUUAGAUACCCGAGUAGUC
rnacentral:rRNA from 1 species